rnacentral:tRNA from 2 species
GGAGGCGUAUCCUAAUUGGCUAAGGAGCCGGUCUUGAAAACCGGUGGGGUGAACGCCCCGUGUGGGUUCGAGUCCCACCGCCUCCGCCA